rnacentral:rRNA from 1 species
CGACCUCAGUUCAGGUGAGAUUACCGGCG